AGAAAAGUGUUUCCGAGGAGAAGGCGCCAGUCCCAGAGAAAAGCACAACUGAGGCCCAAACUGCCAGAUCAACAAAGAAAACAAGCAAGAAGUGGUGGCGUGGGAUGUUUAAAUGUUGUAGGACAUGUCGGGUUGCUCCAUGUCCCAACUCUGAAGAAGAGCAGAAAAACUCGGCAACGCCUAAAAAAAGGUAAUGAUGCUACGUUCACUGUCUGUCAGGAGCGUGUGAGGUGUGAUCACUUCAUAAAUACAUUCACACACAGACUACUUAUUCUCACAUGAUAUCAGAUUUUUAACCAUAAAUAAUAUGACAUGAUGAUUCAUUGUCCAGUUCU